GACGUAGGGCGCGAGCGUUGUCCGGAUUUAUUGGGCGUAAAGAGCUCGUAGGCGGUUUGUCGCGUCGUCCGUGAAAACUCACAGCUUAACUGUGAGCUUGCGGUCGAUACGGGCAGGCUAGAGUUCGGUAGGGGAGACUGAAAUUCCUGGUGUAGCGGUGAAAUGCGCAGAUAUCAGGAGGAACACCGGUGGCGAAGGCGGGUCUCUGGGCCGAUACUGACGCUGAGGAGCGAAAGCGUGGGGAGCGAACAGG
rnacentral:rRNA from 1 species